AUUGAACGCUGGCGGCAGGCCUAACACAUGCAAGUCGAACGAGUGGCGGACGGGUGAGUAAUGUCUGGGAAACGGCCCGAUAGAGGGGGAUAACUACUGGAAACAGUCGCUAAUACCGCAUACCAUCGGAUGAGCCCAGAUGGGAUUAGCGAGUAGGUGGGGUAAUGGCUCACCUGGGAGACGAUCCCUAGCUGUUCUGAGAGGAGGACCAGCAACACUGGAACUGAGACACGGUCCAGACUCCUACGGGAGGCAGCAGUGGGGAAUAUUGCACAAGGGGCGCAAGCCUGAUGCAGCCAUGCCGCGUGUAUGAAGAAGGCCUUCGGGUUGUAAAGUACUUUCAGCGAGGAGGCGUUACUCGCAGAAGAAGCACCGGCUAACUCCGUGCCAGCCGCCGCGGUAAUUC
rnacentral:rRNA from 1 species